UACGGAGGGGGCUAGCGUUGUUCGGAAUUACUGGGCGUAAAGCGCGCGUAGGCGGACCUGCAAGUCGGGGGUGAAAGCCCGAGGCUCAACCUCGGAACUGCCUUCGAUACGGCGGGUCUCGAGUCCGGGAGAGGUGAGUGGAAUUCCUAGUGUAGAGGUGAAAUUCGUAGAUAUUAGGAAGAACACCAGUGGCGAAGGCGGCUCACUGGCCCGGUACUGACGCUGAGGCGCGAAAGCGUGGGGAGCAAACAGG
rnacentral:rRNA from 1 species